AUUGAACGCUGGCGGCAUGCCUUACACAUGCAAGUCGAACGGUAACAGGGAGCUUGCUCCGCUGACGAGUGGCGAACGGGUGAGUAAUGUAUCGGAACGUACCAUUCAGUGGGGGAUAACGUAGCGAAAGUUACGCUAAUACCGCAUAAUUCCUGUGAGCAGGAAAGCAGGGGAUCGCAAGACCUUGCGCUGAUUGAGCGGCCGAUAUCAGAUUAGCUAGUUGGUGAGGUAAAGGCUCACCAAGGCGACGAUCUGUAGCGGGGUCUGAGAGGGAUGGAUCCGCCACACUGGAACUGAGACACGGGUCCAGACUCCUACGGGAGGCAGCAGUGGGGAAUUUUGGACAAUGGGGGCAACCCUGAUCCAGCCAUGCCGCGUGAGUGAAGAAGGCCUUCGGGUUGUAAAGCGUCUUUCGGCCGGGAAAAAUCGCAUCAGUUAAUACCUGGUGUGGAUGAUGGUACCGGAAUAAGAAGCACCGGCUAACGUACGUGACCG
rnacentral:rRNA from 1 species